rnacentral:rRNA from 1 species
GAUGAACGCUGGCGGCGUGCCUAAUACAUGCAAGUCGAGCGAACAGAUCAGGCGCUUGCUCCUUUGACGUUUGCGGAGGACGGGAGAGUAACAUGUGGGUAACCUACCUAUCUGACUGGUAUAAUUCCGGGAAACCGGGGCUAAUGCCGGAUAAGAUUUUGAACCGCAUGGUUCUAAAGAGAAAGAUGGUUUUGCUGUCACUUCUAGCUGGUCCCUCGCCGUUUUAGCUAGUUGGUGAGGUAAUGGCAUACCAAGGGUACGAUACGUAGCCGACGUGAUAGGCUGGUAGGCCGCACUGGAACUGAGACAGGCUCCAUGCUCCUGCGGUAGGGAGCAGUAGGGUAUGGGACGCAAUGGGCGGAAGCCUGACGCAACAGCGCCGCGUGAGUGAUGAAGAUCUUCGGUUCGUAAAACUCUGUUAUGAGUGAUGAACAGAUUUGUAAGUUACUGAGCACGUCUUGACGGUACCUAAUCAAGAAGCCACGGCUAACUACGUG